UAAGGGUUCUUGUAGUUGAAUCA
rnacentral:tRNA from 1 species